UACGUCCGUAGUAACAGAAGACAUUUUCGUUCUAUAGUCAAGAGAAGUUAGCAAGAAAAUGUUUCGGAAAUGGCCCCGUCAACAAAAAUAGUUUAAAAACUGGCUCUAUGCACUAUGGGACUUAACAUCUGAGGCCAUCUGUCCCCUUAGACGUAGAACUUCUUAAACCUAACUAACUUUAGGACAUCACACACAUCCAUGCCCGAGGCAGGAUUCGAACGUGCGUCCGCAGCAGCCUUGUGGCUCUGGACUGAUGCGCCUUGAACCGCUCGGCCACGUCACCCGGCUCCCUGUCAACGAAUUUAUACGAAGACUGUUUGUCGGUGAACACGCUAAGCUCUAAAACUACUAGCACAAAAGUAGAAAUAAACUUCCAUUUCAUGUUAAAUCAUUCACUGGAGAUAUGACUUAAUUUAAAAGACAGCUGAAACUUUAUCUUUCUAAUAGUUCUUUCGGGAUAUUCCAUAUAAAGUGGGCAGAUUUUGUUAGUUAUUGGAGAUUUUGGGCCACGAUUUCAACUAAUUGGCAGGUUACAGGAACAGAGUGCUCAUAACAGCAGCGGAAAGACAAAAAAUGAGAUAGGAAAAGUUAAAGAGCGAAGAAAAAUAUGAAAAAUUGAAGAGGAGG